rnacentral:rRNA from 1 species
CGCCUCUUGAAUUAAUAUAAGAGGUCUAGCCUGCCCAGUGACCCUGUUCAACGGCCGCGGUAUCCUAACCGUGCGAAGGUAGCGUAAUCACUUGUUCUUUAAAUGAGGACUAGUAUGAACGGCAUAGAAGGUUAUACUGUCUCCUUUUUCUAAUCAGUGAACCUAAUCUCCCCGUGAAGAAGCGGGGAUAAAACUAUAAGACGAGAAGACCCUAUGGAGCUUAAAACAAUACAGCACCUGCUAAAAUUUAACAAAUUCCAGAAUUUUACAUUUUCUAAGCACCAUGACUGUAAGUUUUUGGUUGGGGUGACCACGGAGCAUAAUAUAACCUCCAUGUUGAAAGAAUUUUAUUAUAAGCUAAAAAUUACAAUUUUAAGCAUCAAUAAAUUGACAUCUAUUGACCCAAUAUACUUGAACAACGAACCAAGUUACCCUAGGGGUAACAGCGCAAUCCACUUCAAGAGCUCCUAUCGACAAGUGGGUUUACGACCUCGAUGUUGGAUCAGGGUUUCCCAGUGGUGCAGCCGCUACUAAAGGUUCGUUUGUUCAACGAUUAAAACCCU